AGAGUUUGAUCCUGGCUCAGAUUGAACGCUGGCGGCAGGCCUAACACAUGCAAGUCGAGCGGUAGAGAGAAGGCUUGCUUCUCUUGAGAGCGGCGGACGGGUGAGUAAUGCCUAGGAAUCUGCCUGGUAGUGGGGGAUAACGUUCGGAAACGGACGCUAAUACCGCAUACGUCCUACGGGAGAAAGCAGGGGACCUUCGGGCCUUGCGCUAUCAGAUGAGCCUAGGUCGGAUUAGCUAGUUGGUGGGGUAAUGGCUCACCAAGGCGACGAUCCGUAACUGGUCUGAGAGGAUGAUCAGUCACACUGGAACUGAGACACGGUCCAGACUCCUACGGGAGGCAGCAGUGGGGAAUAUUGGACAAUGGGCGAAAGCCUGAUCCAGCCAUGCCGCGUGUGUGAAGAAGGUCUUCGGAUUGUAAAGCACUUUAAGUUGGGAGGAAGGGCAGUUACCUAAUACGUAUCUGUUUUGACGUUACCGACAGAAUAAGCACCGGCUAACUCUGUGCCAGCAGCCGCGGUAAUAC
rnacentral:rRNA from 1 species